UACGGCCACAUCACGUUGAAACACGGGUUCUCGUACAAUCACCGAAAUUAAGCAACGUCGAGCCUGGUCAAUACAUAGAUGGGUGACCGCAUCGGAAUACCAAGU
rnacentral:rRNA from 1 species